rnacentral:ncRNA from 17 species
GCGGCGGGCCGUGACUGGCGCGCUGGGAUGGGACCGACCAUCGGGGAGCGGCCCAGGCCCUGUGGGCCUUACGAGCGAGUGCCGUGCGCCUGAGCCAACCGU